ACGACGACGUGGGAAGCUUUCGUUCUUUCUUAGCAUUGCAGUUACGGACACUCUAAAAUCUUCAUUCCAAGGCAAAUACGAAGUCUUGAUUAAUUAGGAGAAAACUUUUGUGAUCAAAGAAACAUAACCACAAUCAGAAAUGAUGGAUCCGAUCCCAACAGCUCCACCGCCAACACCGCCUAGAUCCGCCGCCGACUUCUUCUCCGAUCCAGUUGACACUCAUCCUCUUUGGUUUAAAUCCAAUCUCUUUCUCUCCCCAACCUUCGACUCCGAAUUCUAUAUCUCGGAGCUCCGAACUUUCGUUCCCUUCGAGACACUCCGAUCUGAGCUACAGGCUCAUUUAUCUUCCCUCAAGCAUGAACUUAUUGAUUUAAUUAACCGGGACUAUGCUGAUUUCGUUAACUUGAGCACCAAGCUCGUCGAUGUUGACGCGGCCGUCGUACGGAUGCGGGCCCCAUUGUUGGAGCUGAGAGAGAAAAUCGAAGGUUUCAGAGGCACUGUUGAAGGUUCCCUCGUGGCGUUGCAGAGGGGUUUAAAGCAAAGAUCGGAGGCUGCUGCGGCUAGGGAGGCUCUUGAACUGUUGCUUGACACGUUUCAUGUUGUUUCUAAGGUUGAAAAACUUAUAAAGGAGCUACCUAGUGCAUCUGCUGAUUGGUCAAAUGGAGAUGUGAAUUUGUCCGAAAGAAAUUCUAUGGGCCAUGCCACUGCUCUACAACCUGUUGAGAAUGGAAUGAAUCCUAGGGAGACUCAAAGCAUGCUUUUGGAGAGAAUUGCCAGUGAGAUGAAUCGGUUAAAGUUCUAUAUGGCUCAUGCGCAGAACCUGCCUUUCAUUGAGAACAUGGAGAAGAGGAUUCAGAGUGCUAGCCUAUUAUUGGAUGCAAGCUUGGGCCAUUGUUUUGUAGAUGGGCUUGAACACCGGGAUGAAAAUGUAAUUUACAAUUGUUUACGUGCAUAUGCCGCCAUUGAUAACACCAGGAAUGCAGAUGAAAUUUUCCGCAAUACUGUUGUGGCUCCAUUGAUACAGAAAAUAAUGCUACAUGGGCCAUCAGAGGCAGUUGCUGAGUCAUCUGGAGAUGAACUUGAGAAUGAUUAUAAGCAAAUCAAACAAUGUAUUGAGAAAGACUGUAAAUUCUUAUUGGAAAUUUCUUCUGCAGAGAACUCAGGUUUGCAUGUAUUUGACUUCUUGGCAAAUUCAGUCCUGAAGGAGGUUCUGUCAGCAAUUCAGAAGGGAAAACCAGGGGCUUUUUCUCCAGGAAGUCCCACUGAAUUCUUGAAAAAUUACAAAUCAAGCCUUGAUUUCUUGGUUCAUCUUGAAGGCUAUUGUCCAUCCAGAUCUGCUGUUGCUAAAUUCAGAGCAGAAGCCGUGUAUGUUGAGUUCAUGAAGCAAUGGAAUGUUGGGGUUUAUUUUUCUUUGAGGUUUCAGGAAAUUGCUGGGGCUUUAGAUUCUGUUCUUACAGGAGCAAGUCUUACUCCUGUUCAGAAUUCACAUUCUGAUCAAGGAAAGUCUUGUGUGUUAACAUUAAAACAAAGUGUUACACUUUUAGAGAGCUUGAGAUCCUGCUGGAGAGAAGAUGUUUUUCUCCUUUCUUGCUCCGACAAAUUUCUUCGUCUGUCAUUGCAGCUUCUUUCAAGAUACUCAAAUUGGUUGUCAUCUGGACUGGCUGCUCGGAAGUCUCGUAGUGCAGGCUCCAAUCCUGGAUGUGAAUGGGCUAUUUCAGCUGCUCCGGAUGAUUUUAUUUAUGUUAUUCAUGACAUAACUUGUCUGGCCACAGAGGUCUCUGUUGACUACCUGGUUCAUGUACUUCGGCUUCUGUCUUCAUGCUCCACUGAAAUUCUUGUUCUAGUAAAACAGAGCAUUUUAGAUGGUGGAAAAUCAUUGAGUUCUACAUUACCUUUAGUUAUCAACACGAUAAUAGAGGGACUUGUUGAGAAGGCUGUGGAAGACUUAAGACAGCUUAAGGGGAUAACUGCAACUUACAGGAUGACUAAUAAACCACUUCCUGUCAGGCAUUCCCCUUAUGUGUCUGGUGUAUUGCGCCCCUUGAAGACUUUAUUAGAUGCAGAGUGAGCCAUGACAUAUUUGUCAAAGGAGACUAAGAAGGAAUUACUGCUUGGUGCUUCAACUAAGAUAACUGGUUGCUAUCAUGAAUUGGCUGCUGAGCUCAUCAGUGUGGCUAGGAAAACGGAGUCUUCACUCCUGAAGAUACGGCAAGGUGCACAAAGGCGAGCUGGAGCAAGCUCAGAUGUCUCAGACCAUAAUGUAUCCGACACUGACAAGAUUUGCAUGCAAUUGUUUCUUGAUAUUCAGGAAUACGGAUGCAAUCUUGCUGCCCUUGGGGUUUUGAAGCAGCAGAUAUUCCAGCGUACUGUUCCUUGUGGCAAUGUGUUGCUCCUUCAGAUCGGCAAAGCGUGAUUAAUUUCUAAGAGUUUUGGGUUGCAAGUCUCAACUGCUUGUAGAUUUAGUUUUAUUGGAUUGUGAAGUAUAUUGUUGUAAGUUGAUCUCAUUGUGAAAUGUGAAGUUUUUUUGUUUGUUUUUUUUUUAUCCUAGUAAUUAGGUAUUCUCGGACAAUCAUGGCGAAUUACUAUUUGUACUAGUUUACACUUCAUUUGAAUCCACUCAGUAUUUCUUUUUGUCA